CAGAUCCCUCACUUGGAGAGAAACUGCCUUCUGGCUUGCAAGCAGCUUCCUGAAGAGACCCAUGUGGCAAGGAACUGGAGCCCCUUUCCAGCAGGCUCUCUGGUUUCCCUGAAUGGAACCAUGGCUUGCAAGCAACGGCCCACAUCUGACGUGUGGUGAAUUCCUGACAGAGACAGCGGUAGUAACGAGUGCUAAGUCCUUCCACAUUGACUUCUGCAAAGAGCCUCACUAGUCGGGUCUUCUAAGAAAGGGACAAAUCUUGGGCCCAACAAAGGAGAAAUAGAAAGAAGGAAGUCUGUGAUAUUGCGAAGAACAGGACGUGGAAAUUUUUCAGUGGUGCAGUCUAGCCCAAGGAGCAUUAAGCUGGCUCAUCAUAUCAGGGAUUUUCCUCAAUGACAUAAAAAUUGCACGAGUGUGCAAAUGACUGUCUGAAGAUGUUCUUGGCAGUGUUGUUUAUGAUGAGAGAUAAGAAGCAACCUCAAAUGGCUACGAGUGAGGUAAGGAUUUGUAUCAAUUAUAACAUGUAUGUAAAUCAGAUACCUGUGUUAAAAUGAUAGAGAUCUAUAUUUAUUGCAGUAGAAGAGUUUCUGCUAAAUUGUUGGCUGAAAAACCAGCAAAACAACAAUAUCACCCUAGGUAACGGAAAAGUGUAAGUGAUAAGAGGCCAUUUAUGUAGUGUUUGGGGCAUUUCUUUAAUGUUUCAUAGCACUAAG